rnacentral:misc_RNA from 1 species
AAGUCGUAACAAGGUUUCCGUAGGUGAACCUGCGGAAGGAUCAUUAACACGUAUCCAACGUUAAACGCUCUCGCACACGCUCUAGCAGCAAUCCCUGGUAAAUCAUUGUUGACCAGCUAUUGAGUCAGGGACCUCUGCUUUAAAACGAUGCGAUACGAGCGCCAGAGUAAGUGCGGCCUGGCAUCCUAGCAAUCUGUCAGUGGUUGCGCAAGGAUGGCGCAGUAAACGAUCGCUGUAGGCCCACACGGCCGGCGACCGGGCCUCUGUGCUUCGGCACCUAACGACCCCAUGUUUCGUACCCGGUGCGCUGUAACAACCGCACCACAAACUCGAACAACUGUUAACAAUGGAUAUCUUGGUUCUC